GUGCAGGAAAAAUGGGGAAAGAAUCUGUAUCUUUCUUGUCUAUGCUAUGGACGCACUGUAUCUUAAAACAAAUCGCGACCAAAUUGUUGUAACCUGUCAUUUUGAUCUUAUAUUACGAACUUCUCGUCGUCUUUGUUUCAUUGUCCAAGUGUAAAUGGAUGGUGGUAAAGUUAGAUGUGUCUUAGAAUGUUAUGCAUAGGAAAACUUUAGUUGUCUUAAAAUUAUGAAUGUUGUAGCUGCUCUGUGUAACAGCUCUCUGCUUAUGAUGUUGUUGUUAUCCUACUAGUACUGAAACAAUUGUUCUUGCUGCAAAAAUUGUUUCGUGUACUCGAAAUACUGGGGAAAAUUUUAAUGUUAUCUUUACCUAUCGAUUAUCUUGUAUUA
rnacentral:lncRNA from 1 species